rnacentral:lncRNA from 1 species
CCAAUGAGGGGAGAGAGAGGGAGGAGAUUUUUGAAUCUCUUGUUUACGGUUUCAUUGCGUUUCCACCUCUCUCAGCAGCCGGACACCAACUCAUUAGUCAUUGAUCGUCGGUUGGAAUUCAUCUUUUGCCUUCUGGUUCUUGAGAAUCUGCUGUAGACUGUUUGAACUUUUUCGAGCAAUUAAAUGAUUGCGAAUCCAAUUCUAAGGCUCUACAACAUGUCAACAGGUAUGCCUUUGGCAAUUAUUGAUUGGAAAUGAUUUCGGCCGUUUUUGUCUCACAAUUCUCAUAAUUUUGGUAUAUGUGGGAAUUAGAUUAUAUCGAGUGAGGUUCAGAGUUGUUUAAAUACAUAUCUACAGAUGAGUCUACUUGCUACAUUUUGUACAGACGGUAGAGGAUCGUGUUUGGAAUUGGCAGAUGUCUUUAGUUUCUUUUUUGGAGUACAAUUCAGUUUUUCCACUUGUUUGAAUCAGAAAGAACUUUACAAAAGAAAGAAGCAGUGUUGGAAAAAGAAGCAAAAACAAUUAUAUUUUUAUGACAAAAUCUUUACAAAGCAAUGAAGCCAAUAAUCAAGCAUUGAAACUCAGUUAAACUCCCCAACUACCUCGGUUGUACAACCUGUAACAUAGAAACUUAGUAGAUUCAGCAGUGUUCUUGUUCAAUAAAAUGAAAAAUGCUUAUAUGCAUGAAAGAUCCUUGGCUAACUCAUCUAGAAGCGCGUUGAAGAUAUGCCUCUCAACAUCUCUCAUAACAUCAUCUUUCUCAAUGAAUGCAAACACCUUAUUGUUCCAACCCAAGUCCCACAUGCAAUUCACAUCUGGCUCCAUAUCAUGAACAUCAAUGUCAAGCAUUUUAGGCAGGUAGGCUUCAAUGACAGAUUCAAGAUUACCAUUCCUACCAUAAAGUUUCAACUUCUCAAACUCUUUAUGUAAUUGCUUAACCAAGUCGUCCAAGGAUAUUACCUUCACAAAAGUAAUGGAUAGCUUCAUGAAAGGAUGAACACUUAGCUCUUGUCGUUUACCCUUUCGUUUCGCAACUUCAUACCCACAGGCUAAUAUGAGUUUGCUGUCUUUAUCAUGAUAAUCAUGCUCACCAGCACGUGGAAUGCCUAUAGGAAUGUUCAGUUUGAAUAGUGCCUCUACGGUGUUAAGGAAUAGUUGGCUUGUAAUCAGGAUCUGCUUGAGAUGCUCUUCACUUUCUGUUAGUGGCUCUGGUUUCUCUGAUUCAGAAAUCGUCUGAUGCUCCAACUGUGAGAGAUGAAGAAUUUCUUGGCUGCCUUCCCCACUUCCUGAAAUAUUUUAAGUAAUGAAGUAUGAUUUUGAGUUCUUUCCCUCUUUACUAUCUGGCAAACUUUCUUAAAAUUGAUGUUUUGUCAACAUGCAUUUCAGUGUAAUUUUAGGCCAGGAUGGGUGUAUUAGGUUCUGAUAAAGUUCAGACUCUAUUUACUUAUGCAUGCCAUCUAUCCCUGCCAUGGCAUGUAGAAUGUUUAGAUAAUUUUCACUACAAAUGUCUCAAUGACAAUCCUUUAGGAAGACAGAACUAUUUGGCAGAUUUAAAACGAGGUAAUUUACUGUAGUUGGAGGAUGCCUGAGGUUGUAUUAAUUUGGGAUAUGAUGAUUGACUUUAUUUACAUCUUUAACUCUUCCAACAAGACAAUAAUUUGUGCUUUGCAAAGAUAAGAAAUAGAAUAGAAAAUGCAAUCUUGGACUCACCAAUUUGUGCAUCAGAUGAAAUAUUAAGAGAUUUGAGUUCUUGAUCUCUGCUGCAAGAUGAAUCUUGAAGUUUCUGAUCAUUUGUAGGUAUUAGAAUUUCCUUUUGACACUGCAUAAUGUUUGAAUAACAACUUGAGCUCUUUAUUUGGAAGUAUUAACAAAUUUCAAUAGAGAAUGAUUAUUUGUGUGAAUUAUCUUUUUUUUAUAAAUAAUAUCAUUUAUGAUUCAGUUAGGAUAACUUACACUGUCUAUUGAAGCUGGAGUUGGUAGUUCUUUGAGGCUUUGGCAUUUAUCCUCUCUAGGGAUGUUAACAGUUUGAUCUUCAGGCAUUCCUCUUCGAAGUUGUUUUAUCAUGGUUGAAGGUUGGAUGGUUUCUUCUGAUUUAUGGGACUUGAUGUUGCACACUUCUGCUUCUUUCAACCUGUUGGUUUUCCAUUUAUCAGCUUCUUCAGAACCAUCAAUUUUUUCCUGCCUUCUCUGUUUCACUUGCAAAAUCAAAUUCUGAUAUUUCAACGGCCUGGUUAAGUUCUCCAAACCAUCAUUUCGCCUGGUCAUCACCUCAUUUAUUUUUUGAGGGAUCUCAGUUUUGUGCACCUUUUCUUUUAUCUUCUUCACAGCUUGUAUAUGAACAGGUUUCUCUUUCAUAGAUGACAUAGUUUCAGUUUGUGCCAACCCAGGUUCUAUUUUUUUCAGAGAUGAAUAUUGGUGUGUGUUCUUCUUUGUGGAAUCUUUCUGUUUGACAUUUGAAUUGGUUGCCUGUUCAUCCCUGACAAAAGUUUCUUGGUUUCUCACAUCAGGAGAUCCCUUGGAUUUAAGUGAAUCACUAAAUUCUACAGAGCUUUUCCUGCUAAUAGCAGCUUGCUUCACAUGUAGCUGCUUCUUCUUCACAUUAACUGAAUCAUGGAUGGGUUUUGAUAAACGAACGAUUAAAUCACUUCUUUUUUGUUUCUUUACCUGCAACUUCUGUAUCACACUCGUCUGACUCCUCUCUUCUGCUUGUCUAUUGGUCUGUUGAGACUGAGUUCUUUCAACAAGGAGUGAUUGUUGGGAUCCAAGAUUGUUUUGAAUUUUACCUUGGUUUGUAAUCAUGAGCUUGUUUUUGUAUCUGUUUUCUAUCUGAAAGGUGUCUUUAUCGUACUCUGAUUCUUCUUGAGAUGUUUGUCUUUUACGCCUCUGUGGUGCUAUCGAGUGUGUCUCAUUAUUAAAUAACUGUUCCUUGGCUUCAGCUUUUUCUAUGCCUCUUUUCUCCCUGUGCUUUGUAGUAUCAUGUUUGCUUUCUUUUCCAUGAAGAUCUUUUUGGUUUCCAGUGUCAUCAUUCACAUUUAUCAUGGUGCCGUCUUGCCUCUCUAUUCUGAUGGACUUUUGUGGCGAACCUGUCACUUGCUUCAUAUGUUCAAAGUCCUUCCAACCUAGUGCUUCAUUAUGGAUUGCCACCUCAGUAGUGACAUUUCUAGGAGGCAGGUUGUUUCCUGUGUGCAGCAUACUGCCUUCUCGACUUGCUGAAGUCUUGCUGGCUUGUAUUGCCUUCUGUUUAACUGUUGAAAAUGCUAUAUGCUCUAUAUCUUCCGUCUUCUGUUCAGUCUUCUUGAUGCUUGACUUUGCAGUUCUUUUUGAAUCUAUCCCUUCCAUUUUCGGCUUGGAAGUAGAGUCUUUCUGUUUGUUGUGCUUUGAAUCUACAUUUUCAGGAAGUUCAUCCAGACCCAUAAGUUUUGCAAUCACAUUUGGAAUUCUUGGUUUCUCUGCUUUUGAUAAUGGCGAACAUGCACUGUUGGUUCUUUCCGAGAACGUGGCAAGAACUUUUACAUUUGGGCCAUAACUAAUUGAUCGCUUGUGAGAACUUGAAUUUGAGUUUGGGAGAGUAAGAGCUGCUAGCCUUGCCUUGAGAUCAGUCCUUGCAACUUCUUGGACAUCAUGAUAUUUUUUUGAGAGCUUGUCAAAGGAAAAUCUUGGUCUAUCCAUUUUCUUUUGUUCAGCUAUCUUAGCUGUGUUAGUAUCAUCAUCUUCAUCAUUCUCAAGCACUGUGAUCCUACUCUUUCUCUGUGGGCUGGUCAAGUAGUCUGAUGCUUCUUGCAGGCUUACAAGCAUCCGUAAAGAAUCUUCCAAAUCCAUGGCACCUUUCAACAGUUCCUUUCCAAUUUCUAUUGAAUACCUAUCAAAGUUAAGACCACCAGAGCAGGCUCUCAAGAUCUGAUAUAAUUUUUGUGCCCCCUUCGAUAUUUCUCUUAGCUGCAGAUAAGACAUUGCUGGGAAGCUGCUGUUUGAAAGCUGAUACCUAUCUAUACUACUAUCCAUAUUUCCGUAGUCCAUUGAUCUCCUACCAAACUGAUGGAGGAAACUUAACAUUGAAUUAGUGCCUGAGGAUGCUAUUCUUGUGAGUUUUGCUUCAUUCUCGAAGGCAAAUGCCAGAGCCAUUGAAAGAUCUCUAAACUUGUUUGAACUCUGGCCUUGCUCAAAAGGAAUCAGCUGAUUUGACACUUCUGCAUUGUUAUUACCUCCACUGAAGUUGGUUUUAGUUUUCCCAUUUUGAUUAGCAGUCUGCAGCAAAUGAACUAUUUUAAUUUAAUAAAUUUUGUGUACUCCAAUCUAACUGUUAUUUUAGUGUAUGAUAGAUAGACCCUGAAAACUUACCAUAUCAGGUGUUUUUAUUUCCUUCAAUCCUUUGUAAGUCCUCUUGGAGUAUGUAUAUGCAUCUGUAGAGCACAUGACGAGCAAAUACAAAUGAGUAUAAAUAUAAAAAUUGUUCAUGAGCUUGAAAGACCCAUGUUGCUAGAUAGCUGAACUUGUGUUUUAUUGGAUUCUGGAUUCAUACCAAAUAUGUGAUGCAGAAAUUCCAAAUACCCAAUUCAAAUUGUUUAUAAUUUUCAGAAUAUAAGGUGGGGUUGGUGAUAGAUCAACCAAAAGAAGAUAUGUUUUUAUUAUAUUAAGACGUGCAUUGAAAUGAAAAUAGGAAUUGUUGAGAAACUGGAUGGGAAAUGCGCAACAACCAGAUGAGCGACAAUCUAAAUAGGGUGAUAUUUCUAGCAAACAGUCACUAGAGCAUUUUAAUUUGAGUGAAACUAGUUUUUGCCUGGUCUAUAAUAUUUUGUGUUCCUAAAUUGUAACUUGUAAGCAUGCUAUGUAAGAUUUUGUGGGCUACCAUUUAAGUGAGAAAUUGUUAUUAAGAGCAGAAAACUAAUGAGACUAAAGCUAAUUUAUGGUCUAAAUUUAUUAAGGUCUACACAGACAUUUUAUUAUAUUAGAUAUGUACCAACAACUUAGUAUAGACUUGUAUGUACCUCAUUAAAGGAAAGAUCUUAUUUGAGAUUUAACCUAGAGUUAAGUCCUUCCCUUGACUGCUAUAAAUAUAACUUGUUCUAUUGAUAAUUGUCAUUCUGAAAAGUGGAGGAGAUAAAGAACUAGCCUCAACUCUACAGAAUUGGAAACACGUAUUCCUAAAUCUAUGAUUUUUCAUUUAGAUACAUGUGUUCUAUAGAUCUUUAUCUGAUUUAUUUGUAUUUUAGAUUUACGUAACCGAUCGUAAGACUUUCGUAUCAUACUUCUGAUCAUGGCAUCUUUGAAUGAAAAUGAGAUGACGCGAAAGUAAUAUUUUUUGGUUCAUUCAUGCUUGCUUUUACAAUAUACGUUAGUGCUUGUACAUGAUUUCCUUACAUGUCUAUAAUGUGACCUUAUAAAAGUAUGUAAAAGAGUUGCUUCUGUAAAAAAAACAGCUGAUGCUUUUGCUUUUGUAAUUACUUGAAUUUGUUGAGUAAGAAUUAUAAUCUAAAAAAAGGUCCAGUCUGAGUUAAAACGCUGAUAACUUCAACAAGAAACUGGUAGCCGUCCCCUCCAUUUCUUUUAACAGUUUCUAAGCUGGCUGUGUUUAAUGCAGAGUUUUAAACAAAUGCUUACCUGCAACCUUGGGGUUUGUCCUGUUUGAGCUCUGAGAUGCAGCUAGCCGUUCCUUUCGCAGUCGUAGAUCAUCUAACAGCUUCUGUGCAAAAUCUGAUCUCUUUGCCAUGUCUGUCCUGAAACAAAGGUUUGAUCCCCAAACUUGUUUCAACUAGGAGGAAAAUGUUAAUGUCUUCAGAUCAUGUUUAGCCAGGCUUCUUUUCCAGAUAAGAGAAAGGAGUAUGUUCUUUUUUCUUUUCUGGUUGGGAGGGUUCUUUCCAAGUUGGGUGAGGUGGGAAGUAUAGUCCAUGGCACUAAUAAUCAAAAUGACAUUUGAAAUUUUUACCCAUCAAGUUUGUCGUGAACGUUAGCUCUCUCUCCUUUUCUCUCUCUUUCUUAUAGAAGGUCUUAGGAGUUUGUAACAUUUGGGGGUAUCCUGACUUUGAUUCUAAUCCAAGUAAUGGCAGAGGUUUGAAAGUGCUUUCCUUCCAAGCUUUCUUCACUGCCAGCAUCUAUCUCACUUUUCUUAAUUUUUUUUUUUCUUAAAUCAAUAACUAAAACGCAAUAUAUUAGUUUACAGAUGAACUAUCUUUGUACUUUUAAUGUAAUAAAUCCAAUUAUUACAGCAUAUAUAUUAAUUCCAUUAUGCUUUCAUGAUAGUUUUUGAGUGAUGAGAGAAUGGUGAACAGUGGUGAUGCACAUGGCUGGCUCGAAACUGUAGGUUGC